rnacentral:rRNA from 1 species
GAUGAACGCUAGCGGCAGGCUUAACACAUGCAAGUCGAGGGGCAGCGCGGGAUAGCAAUAUCCUGGCGGCGACCGGCGGAAGGGUGCGUAACGCGUGAGCGACAUGCCCGUUGCCCGGGGACAACCGGUGGAAACGCCGACUAAUCCCCGAUGGGAUAUUGUGCCGCAUGGCACGAUAUUGAAAGUUACGGCGGCGACGGAUUGGCUCGCGUCCGAUUAGCUUGUUGGCGGGGUAACGGCCCACCAAGGCUGCGAUCGGUAGGGGUUCUGAGAGGAAGGCCCCCCACAAUGGGACUGAGACACGGCCCAUACUCCUACGGGAGGCAGCAGUGAGGAAUAUUGGUCAAUGGGCGGAAGCCUGAACCAGCCAUGCCGCGUGCGGGAAGGAGGCCCUAUGGGCUGUGAACCGCUUUUGCCUGGGGGCAAUAAGGGCGUCGCGCACGUCCGAUGAGAGUACCAGGCGAAUAAGCAUCGGCUAACUCCGUG